rnacentral:rRNA from 1 species
AUGGUCGUCAAAUUUAUUGCAAGAAAGGAAUGUAUUGUAGCUUUGACAUCUGAUGGUAACCUUCAUGUGUAUGACUGUCCGUGUGUCACAAAAAUUGAAAAGACUACACAUGUUAAACCUGUUAGUGGCUGUUCGGUACUAGCUGUUCAUCCAACUUUACCAUCAGUGUUGUCAGCGUCCAAUACUGGCCUAAUAGUUUUAGACUGGGACCAGGCCUGGGAGCAGACACAAGAAUUUCAGACUUAUAAUAACCCAGGGUCAGUGGCAUUUAACCCUGGGGACGACAAAUGUUUCACGGGUGGGUUUCAUGAUGAUGGCGAAAUAAAGGUUUGUCUGGCCGGAUUUCUCCCUUUUUGCAAGCAAACUUUGACGUUAUAUAUAUAG